UACAGAGGGUGCGAGCGUUGUCCGGAAUCACUGGGCGUAAAGGGCGCGUAGGUGGUGGCUGAGCUGAUGCGGUGAAGCUACGGGGCUCAACUCCGAGUCGGCCGUGCGAACUGGGCUCACUGGAGCAUAGUAGAGGCAGGUGGAAUUCCGGGUGUAGCGGUGGAAUGCGUAGAGAUCCGGAAGAACACCGGUGGCGAAGGCGGCCUGCUGGGCUAUGGCUGACACUGAGGCGCGACAGCGUGGGGAGCAAACAGG
rnacentral:rRNA from 1 species